CGAGUGGCGUAAGGGUGAGUAAUGCAUUGAUAACCCUACCUUUGAGAUGGGAACAACAGCGUUCCAAGCAAUUGGAGCUACCGAAAGGGCUGCUAAUACCCAAUAAAACUAUUAUUGCUUUGGUGAUGAUAGUCAAACGUGCGGAAUCGAAAGGUUCCGUUUGCUCAAAGAGGGGUCAAUGUCCUAUCAGCUUGUUGGUGGGGUAAUGGCCUACCAAGGCGAAGACGGGUAGCCGGCCUGAGAGGGUGGUCGGCCACACUGGGACUGAGACACUGCCCAGACUCCUACGGGAGGCUGCAGUCGAGAAUCUUUCGCAAUGCCCGCAAGGGUGACGAAGCGACGCCGCGUGCGGGAAGAAGGCCUUCGGGUUGUAAACCGCUGUCGGGAGUUAGGAAGUGCAAGGAUGUUAAUAGCGUUCUUGCUUGACUAAGGCUCCGGAGGAGGCCACGGCUAACUCUGUGCCAGCAGCCGCGGUAAUACAGAGGCGGCAAGCGUUGUUCGGAAUUAUUGGGCGUAAAGAGCACGUAGGCGGCUGUGUAAGUCGGUUGUGAAAGCCUUCCGUUUAACGGAAGAACGGCAUCCGAUACUGCAUAGCUUGAGUGCGGGAGGGGAGAGUGAAACUUCUGGUGGAGCGGUGAAAUGC
rnacentral:rRNA from 1 species